GGUUAAGCGACUAAGCGUACACGGUGGAUGCCCUGGCAGUCAGAGGCGAUGAAGGACGUGCUAAUCUGCGAAAAGCGUCGGUAAGGUGAUAUGAACCGUUAUAACCGGCGAUGUCCGAAUGGGGAAACCCAGUGCAAUUCGUUGCACUAUCGUUAACUGAAUACAUAGGUUAACGAGGCGAACCGGGGAACUGAAACAUCUAAGUACCCCGAGGAAAAGAAAUCAACCGAGAUUCCCCAGUAGCGGCGAGCGAACGGGGAGCAGCCCAGAGUCUGAAUCAGCUUGUGUGUUAGUGGAACGGUCUGGAAAGUCCGACGGUACAGGGUGAUAGUCCCGUACACCAAAAUGCACAGGUUGUGAACUCGAAGAGUAGGGCGGGACACGUGGUAUCCUGUCUGAAUAUGGGGACCAUCCUCCAAGGCUAAAUACUCCUGACUGACCGAUAGUGAACCAGUACCGUGAGGGAAAGGCGAAAAGAACCCCGGCGAGGGAGUGAAAAAGAACCUGAAACCGUGUACGUACAAGCAGUGGGAGCACCUUCGGGUGUGACUGCGUACCUUUGUAUAAUGGGUCAGCGACUUAUAUUCUGUAGCAAGGUUAACCGUAUAGGGAGCCGCAGGAAACCGAGUCUUAACUGGGCGUUAAGUUGCAGGGUAUAGACCCGAAACCCGGUGAUCUAGCCAUGGGCAGGUUGAAGGUUGGGUAACACUAACUGGAGGACCGAACCGACUAAUGUUGAAAAAUUAGCGGAUGACUUGUGGCUGGGGUGAAAGGCCAAUCAAACCGGGAGAUAGCUGGUUCUCCCGAAAGCUAUUUAGGUAGCGCCUCGUGAACUCAUCUUCGGGGUAGAGCACUGUUUCGGCUAGGGGUCAUCCCGACUUACCAACCCGAUGCAAACUACGAAUACCGAAGAAUGUUAUCACGGGAGACACACGGCGGGUGCUAACGUCCGUCGUGAAGAGGAAACAACCCAGACCGCCAGCUAAGGUCCCAAAGUCAUGGUUAAGUGGGAAACGAUGUGGGAAGGCACAGACAGCCAGGAUGUUGGCUUAGAAGCAGCCAUCAUUUAAAGAAAGCGUAAUAGCUCACUGGUCGAGUCGGCCUGCGCGGAAGAUGUAACGGGGCUAAACCAUGCACCGAAGCUGCGGCAGCGACACUAUGUGUUGUUGGGUAGGGGAGCGUUCUGUAAGCCUGCGAAGGUGUGCUGUGAGGCAUGCUGGAGGUAUCAGAAGUGCGAAUGCUGACAUAAGUAACGAUAAAGCGGGUGAAAAGCCCGCUCGCCGGAAGACCAAGGGUUCCUGUCCAACGUUAAUCGGGGCAGGGUGAGUCGACCCCUAAGGCGAGGCCGAAAGGCGUAGUCGAUGGGAAACAGGUUAAUAUUCCUGUACUUGGUGUUACUGCGAAGGGGGACGGAGAAGGCUAUGUUAGCCGGGCGACGGUUGUCCCGGUUUAAGCAUGUAGGCUGGUUGUCCAGGCAAAUCCGGAUAAUCAAGGCUGAGGUGUGAUGACGAGGCACUACGGUGCUGAAGUAACAAAUGCCCUGCUUCCAGGAAAAGCCUCUAAGCAUCAGGUAACAUUAAAUCGUACCCCAAACCGACACAGGUGGUCAGGUAGAGAAUACCAAGGCGCUUGAGAGAACUCGGGUGAAGGAACUAGGCAAAAUGGUGCCGUAACUUCGGGAGAAGGCACGCUGGUGUGUAGGUGAAGCCCCUGCGGGUGGAGCUGAGACCAGUCGAAGAUACCAGCUGGCUGCAACUGUUUAUUAAAAACACAGCACUGUGCAAACACGAAAGUGGACGUAUACGGUGUGACGCCUGCCCGGUGCCGGAAGGUUAAUUGAUGGGGUUAUCCGUAAGGAGAAGCUCUUGAUCGAAGCCCCGGUAAACGGCGGCCGUAACUAUAACGGUCCUAAGGUAGCGAAAUUCCUUGUCGGGUAAGUUCCGACCUGCACGAAUGGCGUAAUGAUGGCCAGGCUGUCUCCACCCGAGACUCAGUGAAAUUGAACUCGCUGUGAAGAUGCAGUGUACCCGCGGCAAGACGGAAAGACCCCGUGAACCUUUACUAUAGCUUGACACUGAACAUUGAGCCUUGAUGUGUAGGAUAGGUGGGAGGCUUUGAAGCGUGGACGCCAGUCUGCGUGGAGCCAACCUUGAAAUACCACCCUUUAAUGUUUGAUGUUCUAACGUUGGCCCCUUACCGGGGUUGCGGACAGUGUCUGGUGGGUAGUUUGACUGGGGCGGUCUCCUCCCAAAGCGUAACGGAGGAGCACGAAGGUUAGCUAAUCCUGGUCGGACAUCAGGAGGUUAGUGCAAUGGCAUAAGCUAGCUUGACUGCGAGCGUGACGGCGCGAGCAGGUGCGAAAGCAGGUCAUAGUGAUCCGGUGGUUCUGAAUGGAAGGGCCAUCGCUCAACGGAUAAAAGGUACUCCGGGGAUAACAGGCUGAUACCGCCCAAGAGUUCAUAUCGACGGCGGUGUUUGGCACCUCGAUGUCGGCUCAUCACAUCCUGGGGCUGAAGUAGGUCCCAAGGGUAUGGCUGUUCGCCAUUUAAAGUGGUACGCGAGCUGGGUUUAGAACGUCGUGAGACAGUUCGGUCCCUAUCUGCCGUGGGCGCUGGAGAAUUGAGGGGCUGCUCCUAGUACGAGAGGACCGGAGUGGACGCAUCACUGGUGUUCGGGUUGUCAUGCCAAUGGCACUGCCCGGUAGCUAAAUGCGGAAGAGAUAAGUGCUGAAAGCAUCUAAGCACGAAACUUGCCCCGAGAUGAGUUCUCCCUGAGACUUUAAGUCUCCUGAAGGAACGUUGAAGACGACGACGUUGAUAGGCCGGGUGUGUAAGCGCAGCGAUGCGUUGAGCUAACCGGUACUAAUGAACCGUGAGGCUUAACCUU
rnacentral:rRNA from 1 species